GGUGAACGCUGGCGGCGUGCCUAAUACAUGCAAGUCGAGCGAACAGACGAGGAGCUUGCUCCUCUGACGUUAGCGGCGGACGGGUGAGUAACACGUGGAUAACCUACCUAUAAGACUGGGAUAACUUCGGGAAACCGGAGCUAUACCGGAUAAUUUAUUUAACCGCAUGGGUUAAUAGUUAAAAGCCGUUUUGCCUUUACUUAUAGAUUGAUCCGCGCCGCAUUAGCUAGUUGGUAAGGUAACGGCUUACCAAGGCAACGAUGCGUAGCCGACCUGAGAGGGUGACCGGCCACACUGGAACUGAGACACGGUCCAGACUCCUACGGGAGGCAGCAGUAGGGAAUCUUCCGCAAUGGGCGAAAGCUUGACGGAGCAACGCCGCGUGAGUGAUGAAGGUCUUCGGAUCGUAAAACUCUGUUAUUAGGGAAGAACAAAUGUGUAAGUAACUAUGCACGUCUUGACGGUACCUAAUCAGAAAGCCACGGCUAACUACGUG
rnacentral:rRNA from 1 species